AUGCCGCUGCGGUACAAGAGCUGAGACAAGAUACAACAACAAUGAACGAUAACAUCACAACCAUGAUGCGGUUCUGGAACAUCGGGUAAGACCCACGUCAACAUCCAGCUUGGGAGAGUUCCUCCCUAAUUUAUCAAGUAAGUUUUUAUUUGCUCUUCUUAUUUAUUCUAUUCUGUCUUAGUAUUUUAUUUAUCUUAAAAGAAAAAACUUAGAAAACCAAAUAAAUAUUUUCUUGCUUUAAUUUACUGCACUUUAUAAACAUGAAAACAAAAUAAAAAGAGUGCGUAGAUAAGUGUGUUUUAUUUUUCUACUAAGUUUAAUCUCUAAAAAAAUAAAAAGACCAAAAAUAUGCAUGAUGGAAAUGAUGAAUAGUUGCUCUGUUUGCUUACUUACAAGUACCUAGCUUUUAUAUUAGAAUUCUUCCAGGAAUUACUAAAACUAAAAUUACUAUCUUUGGGAAGCAUAAAACUAAAGUCUAGGUAAGACAAAGGCAUGAUAUAAAGUUGAGCUACUGUUUAUCUUGUUUCUACUACACUAAGUUCUGGAGAUUUAUUUUGAAAACUUACAAGUCACAUGAUGAGUUCCUAGCAUAACAAACUACCUACCACAGCCAUACUUGCUAUAACAUCUUUUACUAUAUUUACAUUGAGUUUGAUCGAGCUGUGUAGACCCUUAGGAGCUUUUCAUGUGGUUAAAUUAAGAUAUUCACUUGCACACAUCUACCACAGCAUUCAUCAUCAAUCAUUAAAAUUGCUAAAAAUAUUAUCACUCACUGUCCUGAAUAUUGUUAUUCUCUCUCUCUAAAAAGAUUCAAUGCAGAAGAGGCAUGGGUUAUGCAAAAAUAUAUACGAGGAAAUAAAAAGAGGCAAGUGCCCGGGAACCUCGAAAAGAAAGAAAAAGAGUGAGACGAGAGGUAAAAAUGGACAAGUGUCCGAAGUAGAAUUAGGGGUACAAAGAUGCCCACUUGAGCGGAAAAAAUGGACAAGUGUCCGACAGUAGAAUUAGGGGUAUCUAUUACCCACCUGAAAAAAAAGAAGAAGAAAGAAGAAAGAAAAAGAUAGCCCAUGUCCUCCCAAAGCAAAGAUCAAAAAUAAGAUGAGAGAUAGCAAUAUGAGGAGCAAUGAGAACUAUGAUUUAUUAACACUAUUGCAUUUUCACCAUCACUAUCAUUUACUCCACCACACAUGCACAUCUUGAUUUAAUUAUAUGCUGAGUUCCUUUGGAUCCAUGGCUCGAUUAGACAACAUAUGUAUGAGCUGUUUUCCACUCCUAUGAGCUCCACUUAAAUAUUCUAUUAGCUAUAGGUAAGUGACAUUAUGGUAAGGAUCCACAAAUACCACAUAUAGAGAGACUUGAGAGAUCAUUGCUGGGAACUCUGAGUUUUAUUUUGAAAACUUAUGAAAAACUCUAGAACAAAGGUGAAGUAUAGACAAGAGGGAUAGUGCUUGACUUAACUAUUUUGUCUUUUGAUUACUUAAGAUUUAAGUGCAGGUACCAAACUCCAUAACACUUCAC
rnacentral:lncRNA from 1 species